rnacentral:lncRNA from 1 species
GCGGUCCCUCCUGAAAGGCCACGGUUCCUUGGGCGGGUGGCGACCCCCACGUGGCAUGGACGCCUGGGUGCCUGUGUGCUCAGCCUGGCCCCUUGGUGUCUCUACACGUUUCUACACAUACUGAUCCCAGAGUUGUAGGGUGGUUUGCUAUGCUUUUUUAAAAAAAGAAAAUCAGGCCCUUGUCUGAUUGUUUAAUGACGCUGCUUGUUUCAUCUAAAUUUUAACACUGAACCUAGAUCUAGCUGAAAUCGAAGAACCACGUCCGUCAGCAAUCUGGAGAAGAAGAAUUCACAUUUAAAGUUUGGAAAGUGGCAGAAAAAAAAGCCACAUCAUUUCCUAAGAAGCAGGGCCUCAGAGGACCUGAAUGAAGCCCCAGUAGAUUCUGGGCCAGCCGAGCAAGGCCUUGGGUUCUGGCAGGGCAGAAGCCGGUGUCUGAAUAUCCUGACCAGCCAAGGGGAG